AGGGGGCUUUUGGGCUCCAGGGAUGGGUCCCUUAAGGUGUUUAUUUCAGACCGAUGGGCGGGCCAGCUCCAGGCAUUUGGGGACAGGAGAGCCUUUUAGCAAAGCCUCACAAGCCGCAGAGGUAGGUCUUGUUUUCCCCACUGGGGCCCUGAGAGCUCAGCUUUCAGGGUCGUAGUGGGGCAUUUGACCCCUACCUGUCUUGAGGUCUCCACUCUGGCCCGGCUUUUAACAACCUCCGGCCUUUUCAGCCUGUGGCCUGGGCUCUGCAUCCUCACCUGAAUGUGUGGUUUCCCCCAGGGGGCACGGCGGCCAUCCUGGCCUCUAUCCUCUGUGUCCAGUGGCCAGGUGGUGGGGAGGGUUGGAAUGAGAACAGUCAGGAUGGAAUAAUGGCCGGGCAUUUUGUACUUGUAACAGUGCAAGCUCAGUUCACAACUUGAACUUCAAGUGGGCCCUUCAGGCAGAUUAGGGAGGUCAAGUGAGAGAGUGGAGGCAGCCAUUGCGGAUUGUCUAAAUUCCUAGAAAAUAAAUUCUAGGAAUUUAGCUGUGGGGAAGGAGGAGUGCCAAGGUGAGCACACCCCGCUCGGGGCAGGGGGUCUGGGCUGGUAAUCCAGGAGGCCCCGGGCCGGGGAGGAGGUGGCUUUUUCGUCUUCUUUCUGUAUUUGGACACCCUGGGUUUCCAAAAAUCACUUGUAUUUGAAUCAGAUCUAAGAGACAACACUUUUUUUAGCCAAGGGCUUUUUUUUUUUUUUUUUUUUUUUAAUCCCCACUGAACUUCAAUCCCUCUUAUGGAGGAAAACCGCUCCCUCCUAAACACCGCUUUUGGUGACUGCCCUUUGUUUGAAGUAAUCAUUGUCCCUAGAAAUGGGAAAUUACACAUUACUGUUUACCGAAAGGAAAUAAACACCUUGGAUGACUAGGGUUCUUGCCCCCAGGGAGCGAUCCCCGACCUUGCCCGCAAGCUGGGUGGGAAGCCUGCACACUACAUCCUGCAAACACAUUCACUUUCGGUGUUUGACCAUUUCUGCAGGGGAAAUGGUUGGAUCCUGUGUGUCCCACGAAGCUUGCUUGCCGUGUCCUUGUUACGUCAUCACGGAGGACCUUUGCUAGUCUUUUUCUGGUUGCAGAAGCAAGUACAGGAAAAAACAUGGGGAACGGGGAGUGUCUCCUGCUUACUCUGUUCAGACAUGGACUGGACUCUUGUUCUGUGUUCAUGGGUAUCUGAUGAGCUCUCACUAAAUAAGAGUGAAUAGGAAUGCUUUAUUGAGACGGCCUGAGCCACAGGCAGGUUCACGCAGGUAGGAAAAGGUCUUGGAGGUGGCUCUGAGCACUGUGUCCGUCUCAGCCUUUCCGUGUUCUGGCUCCGUGGUCUCCCAAGCCCUCCCCUGCUUUUCACUCUGGCCAUUGUCAACCCCGGCAGCCUCAAGCUGGCCUCUGAGCCCCACGCAGCUGUUUCCAGUGCUCUUUAACAUUCCCUGCUGUCUCCAGCCCCCUGACUUUUAAGCAGGUUUCUCUCCCCCAUCCGUUGGAUUUCAGUUUAGGCGGCAUUUCUUCCUGGGAUUCUUCUUCCCUACCCCCCACCCCCACCCCACACCCCCCCACGUGCCUGUGCAUUCGUGCUGGUCUGUGGCUUCCUGUGCUCUGCAUUAUUCAUACUGAAUUGUCAGUGACUAGUUGCUUGUCUGUCUGCCUCCCCCAUCAGACUGUCAGCUCUGUGAGGGAGGGACGCAGCCUGCUUGCGGCACAGUGCCAGGCACACAACACACGGCAGGAACUCAGUAAGCCCUUCUAUCGCUAUUUUGUCACUUCAUACACUUCCCCUUAGCAACAUGAACUCCAGUUGUCCGCUGCCCACUCUUGUGUAUUUCCCGGGUCUCCACCCUAUCUCCAACGCUCAGCCUCUACUUGGGUAACAAAAACAAACAAAACAAAACCUAGAAAAUCAACAAAAGAAACACACACCAGAACUGGUUCUCUGCAAGGAUGGGAAGCGUGCAGCCCGCCUGUCAGCAAACUUCAAAAUCCACACCUUGCCCGUGUGCGGGACUGCCUCUCUGGGGUGGGAAAGGACGUAAAAGAAAAGCCUGGAGACCCAGGAGAACACACCACAGCCUUCAGCACUGGGAUGCAAGGACCAGACUAAGCCCGAGGAAACUGGCAACCGAGCAGGGCAGUUUCGAUCUCCAUCCCAAAUGCAGGU